CAACCUGCCUUGGAGUGGGGAAUAACAGCUGGAAACAGCUGCUAAUACCGCAUAAUAUGUCUGAACCGCAUGGCUCUGGACAUCAAAGAUUUAUCGCUCUGAGAUGGACUCGCGUCUGAUUAGCUAGUUGGUGGGGCAACGGCCCACCAAGGCGACGAUCAGUAGCCGGACUGAGAGGUUGGCCGGCCACAUUGGGACUGAGACACGGCCCAGACUCCUACGGGAGGCAGCAG
rnacentral:rRNA from 1 species